UACGUAGGGACCAAGCGUUGUUCGGAUUUACUGGGCGUAAAGGGCGCGUAGGCGGCAAUUCAAGUCAUCUGUGAAAUCUCUGGGCUUAACCCAGAACGGCCAGGUGAUACUGCUUUGCUAGAGUGCGGAGGGGGCAAUCGGAAUUCUUGGUGUAGCGGUGAAAUGCGUAGAUAUCAAGAGGAACACCCGAGGUGAAGACGGGUUGCUGGGCCGACACUGACGAUGACAGCGCGAAAGCCAGGGGAGCAAACGGG
rnacentral:rRNA from 1 species